rnacentral:rRNA from 1 species
AUACGGAGGAUGCGAGCGUUAUCCGGAUUUAUUGGGUUUAAAGGGUGCGUAGGCUGUGCGUUAAGUCAGGGGUGAAAUGCCGUCGCUCAACGACGGAGCUGCCCUUGAUACUGGCGUGCUGGAGUACGGAUGCCGUUGGAGGAAUGAGUGGUGUAGCGGUGAAAUGCUUAGAUAUCACUCAGAACACCGAUUGCGAAGGCAUCUGACGAAUCCGUCACUGACGCUGAGGCACGAAAGCGUGGGGAUAGAACAGGAUUAGAUACCCUGGUAUCCCACGCCGUAAACGAUGAUGACUAACCGUCGGCGAUAGACAGCCGGUGGCCAAGCGAAAGCGAUAAGUCAUCCACCUGGGGAGUACGUCGGCAACGAUGAAACUCAAAGGAAUUGACGGGG